AAGUCGUAACAAGGUUUCCGUAGGUGAACCUGCGGAAGGAUCAUUAUUGAAUUAGCGAGGGCUGUCUGCUGGCCCCUUCGGGGGCAUGUGCACGUCCGAGCCGUUUAAAUCAACACCUGUGAACUCACCGUAGGCCUUCGGGCUUAUGUAUCAUAUAUAUAUAUACUCAGAUCAUAGAAUGUACAUUUUGCCUUUAAAAAAGCAAUCAAAUACAACUUUCAACAACGGAUCUCUUGGCUCUCGCAUCGAUGAAGAACGCAGCGAAAUGCGAUAAGUAAUGUGAAUUGCAGAUUUUCAGUGAAUCAUCGAAUCUUUGAACGCACCUUGCGCUCCUUGGUAUUCCGAGGAGCAUGCCUGUUUGAGUGUCAUUAAAUCCUCAACCCCGUCCGUCGGUCGGGGCUUGGACUUUGGAGCGUGCUGGCGAAGGUCGGCUCCUCUUUAAAUGCAUCRGCGGAGAAAAACAAACCUUUUUUCCCCCUUCAGCGUGAUAACUGCGUUGCGCUGUGGUCGCGAAAGGGUCCGCUCAUAAUCGUCCUCGGACAAAC
rnacentral:rRNA from 1 species